GAUGAAGAACGUAGCGAAAUGCGAUAAGUAAUGUGAAUUGCAGAAUUCAGUGAAUCAUCGAAUCUUUGAACGCACAUUGCGCCCCCUGGUAUUCCGGGGGGCAUGCCUGUUCGAGCGUCAUUUCACCACUCAAGCCUCGCUUGGUAUUGGGCAACGCGGUCCGCCGCGUGCCUCAAAUCGUCCGGCUGGGUCUUCUGUCCCCUAAGCGUUGUGGAAACAAUUCGCUAAAGGGUGUUCGGGAGGCUACGCCGUAAAACAACCCCAUUUCUAAGGUUGACCUCGGAUCAGGUAGGGAUACCCGCUGAACUUAAGCAUAUCAAUAAGCGGAGGA
rnacentral:misc_RNA from 1 species